AUUGAACGCUGGCGGCAGGCUUAACACAUGCAAGUCGAGCGGAGAUGAGGUGCUUGCACCUUAUCUUAGCGGCGGACGGGUGAGUAAUGCUUAGGAAUCUGCCUAUCAGUGGGGGACAACAUUCCGAAAGGAGUGCUAAUACCGCAUACGUCCUACGGGAGAAAGCAGGGGAUCUUCGGACCUUGCGCUAAUAGAUGAGCCUAAGUCGGAUUAGCUAGUUGGUGGGGUAAAGGCCUACCAAGGCGACGAUCUGUAGCGGGUCUGAGAGGAUGAGCCGCCACGCUGGGACUGAGACACGGCCCAGACUCCUACGGGAGGCAGCAGUGGGGAAUAUUAGACAAUGGGGGAACCCUGAUCCAGCCAUGCCGCGUGUGUGAAGAAGGCCUUAUGGUUGUAAAGCACUUUAAGCGAGGAGGAGGCUACUGAGACUAAUACUCUUGGAUAGUGGACGUUACUCGCAGAAUAAGCACCGGCUAACUCUGUGCCAGCAGCCGCGGUAAUAC
rnacentral:rRNA from 1 species